ACAGAAGCAUUGAACAGAUUUUUCAGACUGACCUCAUGAAAAUGGCGUAUGUAUUACACGAUGAUUCUUAUGCCAUUAUUGGCACGUUAUCAAGACGCAUACUCGCUUUUUAGCGUGUUUGUCAACGCCGUUGGGCCUCCAUUGACCUACAUUACCUUGCGACUGCGUGUGAAUUUACGCCGUAGAG